rnacentral:rRNA from 1 species
GAUGAACGCUGGCGGCGUGCCUAAUACAUGCAAGUCGAGCGAACGGACGAGAAGCUUGCUUCUCUGAUGUUAGCGGCGGACGGGUGAGUAACACGUGGAUAACCUACCUAUAAGACUGGGAUAACUUCGGGAAACCGGAGCUAAUACCGGAUGAUAUUUUGAACCGCAUGGUUCAAAAGUGAAAGACGGUCUUGCUGUCACUUAUAGAUGGAUCCGCGCUGCAUUAGCUAGUUGGUAAGGUAACGGCUUACCAAGGCAACGAUGCAUAGCCGACCUGAGAGGGUGAUCGGCCACACUGGAACUGAGACACGGUCCAGACUCCUACGGGAGGCAGCAGUAGGGAAUCUUCUGCAAAGGGCGAAAGCCUGACGGAGCAACGCCGCGUGAGUGAUGAAGGUCUUCGGAUCGUAAAACUCUGUUAUUAGGGAAGAACAUAUGUGUAAGUAACUGUGCACAUCUUGACGGUACCUAAUCAGAAAGCCACGGCUAACUACGUG